rnacentral:rRNA from 1 species
UCCUGGCUCAGGACGAACGCUGGCGGCGUGCUUAACACAUGCAAGUCGAACGAUGAACCGCUUUCGGGCGGGGAUUAGUGGCGAACGGGUGAGUAACACGUGGGCAAUCUGCCCUGCACUCUGGGACAAGCCCUGGAAACGGGGUCUAAUACCGGAUAUGACCGUCUGCCGCAUGGUGGAUGGUGUAAAGCUCCGGCGGUGCAGGAUGAGCCCGCGGCCUAUCAGCUUGUUGGUGAGGUAGUGGCUCACCAAGGCGACGACGGGUAGCCGGCCUGAGAGGGCGACCGGCCACACUGGGACUGAGACACGGCCCAGACUCCUACGGGAGGCAGCAGUGGGGAAUAUUGCACAAUGGGCGAAAGCCUGAUGCAGCGACGCCGCGUGAGGGAUGACGGCCUUCGGGUUGUAAACCUCUUUCAGCAGGGAAGAAGCGAAAGUGACGGUACCUGCAGAAGAAGCGCCGGCUAACUACGUGCCAGCAGCCGCGGUAAUACGUAGGGCGCAAGCGUUGUCCGGAAUUAUUGGGCGUAAAGAGCUCGUAGGCGGCUUGUCACGUCGGUUGUGAAAGCCCGGGGCUUAACCCCGGGUCUGCAGUCGAUACGGGCAGGCUAGAGUUCGGUAGGGGAGAUCGGAAUUCCUGGUGUAGCGGUGAAAUGCGCAGAUAUCAGGAGGAACACCGGUGGCGAAGGCGGAUCUCUGGGCCGAUACUGACGCUGAGGAGCGAAAGCGUGGGGAGCGAACAGGAUUAGAUACCCUGGUAGUCCACGCCGUAAACGGUGGGCACUAGGUGUGGGCAACAUUCCACGUUGUCCGUGCCGCAGCUAACGCAUUAAGUGCCCCGCC